UAGAGCAGGUAGUGGGCAGGAGGAGGAAGAGAAGAGCAACAGCCACACCUACUAGGUAUGUGCAUGCAUGUGUUACCCCUGCGACAGACUGGCUGUCCAGGGUGUAGCCUGCCUCUCGCAUUAAGACAGCUGGGAUUGGCUCCAGCAACCCUGAAAAGGAUAAACAGGAGAGGACGGAUGGACCGUAUGAUGUACAGGCUGAUAUUAAACAGAGGGGAAGAGAACUGCUGGACAUGUUGGACUGUGUCACGCUGGGACAUGAUGGGAGUUUCCCAUUGAAAUAUCUGACUGAGGUUUCUUCGCUGUGUGUCCACAAACGUUUGAACUUACUGAGAAAAAG